UCGCGCAAUAAUAAGAGAGAUACGUUUGAGAAUUCAAUUUCCAAGUUUUCCGCAACACCGGUGCGGCGGUCUCAUCGUCGUUUGGGAUAUCGGGGACCGCACGUCAACGACGUUGUUGGAUCGAUCGACAGCGCUUGGCACCGAUCGUCACCGUCGCAGGUUGCGACCACGGGUGUAGAGAACACGGCGACGUCGCUGGUCGCACGCGUUUGCCCGCUCAGGAGUGCUCAGGAGGAUCCAUUUGCGUGGACCGGACCGUGCCGGACGAGAGAGUUUUUAAUUCUCGUUUCGUUUUCUUCCCUCCUGCCGGUCACGAGCGUCGAGGAUGGCCGACAUCAAGCAGGAACACAAGGGCGAGGAGGUCGACAGCUACGGGAUGGGCAACAGCGCCGACCCGAAGAACAUGCAGGAGCUGACGCAAUACGUGAGUCCGCGUAUUUACGCACAGGAUGACGAUGACGCAUCCGGGGACGAUCCGUCGCGACGCGACCCUGACGCUACGUUGACUCCUUUACAGGUGCAAACGCUGCUGCAGAACAUGCAGGACAAGUUUCAGACCAUGUCCGACCAGAUCAUAGGAAGAAUAGAUGAAAUGGGCAAUAGAAUAGACGAUUUGGAAAAAAAUAUCGCGGACUUAAUGACGCAAGCAGGGGUCGAAGGAGGUGAUAAAUAAGCUCAUUCUUUCCUCAAUGUACUGAUCUAUACGGAACGACUUAUCUAAAGUACCAGCCAUACUUAUUUUCACGGAACAAACAUGUAUACUGAUAGUGAGACGCCCAUCCUUUGGUUACAAUACAAAAAAUAAACUUACACUUUUUUAAAAAUGUUUUUUGUUAUUUUCAAGGAAUUCUCGUACAGCCAACCGAGAUACCGACUAAACUGACCUAACGAUUAGAUAUGCAGCUUCAAUAGAAUGCGAGAAAAUAUUUUUUUAUGUCAUCUUUAUCUUACUCUUGUUUUAUUAAAAACGAUGUUGUGCAUCUACAUUUUAAACUGACACGAAAGGUAUAAAUACGCAUUCUUCAAGAGAAAAAUGUUCACUUUGUCUUGUUCAGUCUGUAAGGUACGCGGUAUAUUAUAGACGACAUUAAAGACUUUUGACAUGUAGGAAUCGCUGGAACGGGUCUGAGAAUGUAGUGUUUCUUUACUUUGUAUCCGACACGUUUCGAAACUUUUUUCUAAAAAGAUAAAAAGACAAGGGAAUUAAAUGAGUGAUUGUAAUUACAUAGAUUUUUGCCUAGUUCUCACAGGCUUCUCUUGAAUCGAUUCCGAUUCCGUUUCCUCUGUGCUGUCUGGAUAUUCUUCGACUUGAACCGACUCGGAAGAGUUUGUGAAUGCGAUUCGGUUCCUCGAUUAGCCGAUUUCUGCGAUGCCAUGGGCGAGGAUGCGAAUCGAGUGGCCAAAUUCGUUAACGAGUAAGCCUGUCGAAACGAAGUUCUGCCCACCGUAUCUAAUCUUGCGACAGAAUCAGGAACUCUCAUUGUUUCUCGAAAUUCCUAGAUGUACCGAAGUAAUGCUUUAUUUUUGGAUAAUGCGAAAUAUUGCAUUUGAUAAUAAUAAAGUUAAUAUUGAAAUGUCA